CCCGCUGAACUUAAGCAUAUCAAUAAGCGGAGGAAAAGAAACCAACAGGGAUUACCUCAGUAACGGCGAGUGAAGCGGUAAUAGCUCAAAUUUGAAAUCUGGCUUCGGUCCGAGUUGUAAUUUGUAGAAGAUGCUUCGGGUGUGGCUCCGGUCUAAGUUCCUUGGAACAGGACGUCAUAGAGGGUGAGAAUCCCGUAUGUGACUGGAUGCCUCCGCCUAUGUGAAGCUCUUUCGACGAGUCGAGUUGUUUGGGAAUGCAGCUCAAAAUGGGUGGUAUAUUUCAUCUAAAGCUAAAUAUUGGCCAGAGACCGAUAGCGCACAAGUAGAGUGAUCGAAAGAUGAAAAGCACUUUGGAAAGAGAGUUAAACAGUACGUGAAAUUGUUGAAAGGGAAGCGUUUGCAAUCAGACUUGCACGUUGCCGAUCAUCUGGUGUUCUCACCAGUGCACUCGGUUUCGUUCAGGCCAGCAUCGGUUUGGGUGGUUGGAUAAAGGCCUUGGGAAUGUAGCUUCUUUCGGGAGUGUUAUAGCCCUCGGUGCAAUGCAGCCUACCUGGACCGAGGACCGCGCUUCGGCUAGGAUGCUGGCGUAAUGAUUGUAAACGACCCGUCUUGAAACACGG
rnacentral:rRNA from 1 species